GAAGUGCGAUAAGCAAUGCGAAUUGCAGAACCGUGAGUCAUCAGAUUUUUGAACGCAACUGGCGCCGACUGGCUCUCCAGUCGGCAUACUUGUUUCAGUGUCUCUUAAUAUCCUAACCCAUAUCAUAAUGCGAGAGAUAUCCUUCUCUUGCUAAACAUGAAAGCACUCUGCGCUCAGCGAGCAGCUUCGACUCGUCGAGGUUGCACUCAAUGCAGCAGUCACAUUGCUCACAAUGUGAACUCAUUGAGAGCUGAGGCAGUGCAGCGUAAGCUGCCAGUGCUUAGUCACACAAACUUACUUGCAUCUGAAAUCAAGCAGGAUCACCCGCUGAACUUAA
rnacentral:misc_RNA from 1 species